rnacentral:rRNA from 1 species
AGCGAACGCUGGCGGCAGGCUUAACACAUGCAAGUCGAGCGGGCAUCCUUGUGGUGUCAGCGGCAGACGGGUGAGUAACGCGUGGGAACGUGCCCUUCGGUUCGGAAUAACUCAGGGAAACUUGAGCUAAUACCGGAUACGUGCGAGAGCAGAAAGGUUUAUCUGCCGAAGGAUCGGCCCGCGUCUGAUUAGCUAGUUGGUGAGGUUAUGGCUCACCAAGGCGACGAUCAGUAGCUGGUCUGAGAGGAUGAUCAGCCACACUGGGACUGAGACACGGCCCAGACUCCGACGGGAGGCAGCAGUGGGGAAUAUUGGACAAUGGGGGCAACCCUGAUCCAGCCAUGCCGCGGGAGUGAUGACGGCCUUAGGGUUGUAAAGCUCUUUUCUUCGGGACGAUAAUGACGGUACCGGAGGAAUAAGCCCCGGCUAACUUCGU